GAAAGUGUUAGCAUAUUGGAAAGACAGAGUUUGGCCAGGACCAAGAGCCUGGCCAUCGUUGACAAGGCAGUCGUCAUAACUGACUCGCCGGAAAAUUCUUGGAUUCACCAAUCUGGCUGAGCUGAACCACCCACAUUUCACGUGAAUGUUGGAGAUGCUGCAGUCCGAAGCACAUGAAUUCAAGAUCUGAACUAUGUAUGUUGGAA
rnacentral:misc_RNA from 1 species